rnacentral:rRNA from 1 species
CGGACGGGUGAGUAAUGUCUGGGAACUGCCCGAUGGAGGGGGAUAACUACUGGAAACGGUAGCUAAUACCGCAUAACGUCGCAAGACCAAAGAGGGGGACCUUCGGGCCUCUUGCCAUCGGAUGUGCCCAGAUGGGAUUAGCUAGUAGGUGGGGUAACGGCUCACCUAGGCGACGAUCCCUAGCUGGUCUGAGAGGAUGACCAGCCACACUGGAACUGAGACACGGUCCAG